rnacentral:rRNA from 1 species
GACGAACGCUGGCGGCGUGCUUAACACAUGCAAGUCGAACGGAAAGGCGCUGCUUUUGUGGGGUGCUCGAGUGGCGAACGGGUGAGUAACACGUGAGUAACCUGCCCUUGACUUUGGGAUAACUUCAGGAAACUGGGGCUAAUACCGGAGAGGAGCUCCUGCUGCAUGGUGGGGGUUGGAAAGUUUCGGCGGUUGGGGAUGGACUCGCGGCUUAUCGGCUUGUUGGUGGGGUAGUGGCUUACCAAGGCUUUGACGGGUAGCCGGCCUGAGAGGGUGACCGGCCACAUGGGGACUGAGAUACGGCCCAGACUGCUACGUGAGGCAGCAGUGGGGAAUAUUGCACAAUGGGCGGACGCCUGAUGCAGCAACGCCGCGUGCGGGAUGACGGCCUUCGGGUUGUAAACCGCUUUCGCCUGUGACGAAGCGGGAGUGACGGUAAUGGGUAAAGAAGCCCCGGCUAACUACGUG